UAACAACGUGGUCAGUUGUAACCUUGUCCAANAGUGAGGGAGUAUUUAAAUCGCCUCCUAAUUUUUUUUCUUUCCAACUGUGUUCGAAGGCUCAAAUGAGUGCUGAUGGGUUUGUCAACAGGUAAUCCACCCGUUUAUGAGGAGAUUGAUGGAUCUGAGGCAAACGCAACUGACGCAAAGCUCACAUCUAUCUUGGUUUAAGGAUGUGGUCCGCCGAAAGGCUGGGAGGAGGAAUUACAUGCACAAGCACUAUGGCCCCUCAUAAAUCACUGCCACCCAGAGAAAAUGUCACAUUCCAGCGCUUGGUGGGAAUUGGGAAGAGGAAACAGGAAGGAGAGCCGAUGACAACAUCUGGUUGUGAUUUCAGAGAUGCGGGCAUGCUUGGGACUUUUCCAGACCAAAGUAAUCAUAUUUUUGUCAGCACGGCUAUCUCUUACCUGCUGCAGAGUGUGAAUGAAUAAUUGAAAUCCUGACCUUGCAGCAGAAGCUGUCACAAAGGUCCAUCUACUGUAGUAACCUGAACAUAGCCACCUGAUACAAAAGGCAAGUUACUUCUCCAGCCAAGAGAAAAGCAGAAACAAGCUGCCGAGAGAGUGAACCCACAGGAGAUGUGUUUUGUGGCACGGUAUGCCAAGAAAGCUUAAAUAAACAUCCGUUGACACUCUGCACACCCGCAGUGGCGAUCAGGGGUCAGCUGUGGACAUCUCAGUGCACUCAUAUAUCACACUAACACUCUUUCAGUGCAGACCCCUGGGCUCAGAAGCAUUCGCUCUGAUCAUGAGGGUGAAACUGCAAACGGCUGACACUGCAUCCAUCUCUCUCCCCUGGUAUGCUCCACUAGUGGACAGAGUGGAGAGGAGAUACUUUCAUUCUACCUCCGCAUUCUGCCUCAUUUACAUCUUGGGGGUGGCUGGGAGCAGCCCCACUGCCCUGAACGGCCCCCAGCAGUCAUCUCAUUGCAGCCCACUUCGCCUCUGGGUUCAUCUUCGUCCAGGCUUGUAACUUCCAUAAAGUUUGUCCCUCACUGCAGGUCUUUACAACUGUGCACUGAAACUGCUGAACUGUAUUGGAAUGGUUCACACAAGCACAAUGGUCUAGAGACUGUGCAAUCUGGCAUGGUGGCUCACCAUCUUAAAUAGAUCCGAACUUAUUGUGAUUUUGAAUAUAGAUUUCUACAUUUACAGAAAUCUACUGAAAAGAAUGAUGAUUCUACCAUGAUUCUAAUUUUAGACAUUUACGAUAGUAUAUAGAAAUAGCUAAUGCUACAUAUAAAUUCUAAUAUUAGAUGUACUUAAGCAAGAUACAUAUAAUAUUAUAAUCUGUUCACAAUGUUAGGUACAUACAAUGUUAGGUAUUUAUAUAUAUAUAUAUAUAUAUAUAUAUAUAUAUAUAUAUAUAUAUUAGUAGUAGUUAUUAUAUAUAUAUAUAUAUAUAUAUAUAUAUAUAUAUAUAUAUAUAUGUUGCUCGAAAAUAUGUUGCUUUUUAAUUUCAGAAUUUAAGUUAAAUUUG
rnacentral:lncRNA from 1 species